AGCAGCCGCCACGGUAAUACGGAGGGUGCAAGCGUUAAUCGGAAUUACUGGGCGUAAAGCGCACGCAGGCGGUUUGUUAAGUCAGAUGUGAAAUCCCCGAGCUUAACUUGGGAACUGCAUUUGAAACUGGCAAGCUAGAGUCUUGUAGAGGGGGGUAGAAUUCCAGGUGUAGCGGUGAAAUGCGUAGAGAUCUGGAGGAAUACCGGUGGCGAAGGCGGCCCCCUGGACAAAGACUGACGCUCAGGUGCGAAAGCGUGGGGAGCAAACAGGAUUAGAUACCCCUGUAGUCCCUGUCUCUUAUAC
rnacentral:rRNA from 1 species